GAUGAACGCUGGCGGCGUGCUUAACACAUGCAAGUCGAACGAAGCAUUUAGAACAGAUUAUUUCGGUAUGAAGUUCUUUAUGACUGAGUGGCGGACGGGUGAGUAACGCGUGGGUAACCUGCCUUGUACUGGGGGAUAGCAGCUGGAAACGGCUGGUAAUACCGCAUAAGUGCACAAUGUUGCAUGACAUGGUGUGAAAAACUCCGGUGGUAUAAGAUGGACCCGCGCCUGAUUAGCUAGUUGGUGAGAUAACGGCCCACCAAGGCGACGAUCAGUAGCCGGCCUGAGAGGGUGAACGGCCACAUUGGGACUGAGACACGGCCCAAACACCUACGGGAGGCAGCAGUGGGGAAUAUUGCACAAUGGGGGAAACCCUGAUGCAGCGACGCCGCGGUGAGUGAUGAAGUAUUUCGGUAUGUAAAACUCUAUCAGCAGGGAAGAUAAUGACGGUACCUGACUAAGAAGCACCGGCUAAAUACGUGCCAG
rnacentral:rRNA from 1 species